GACGAACGCUGGCGGCGUGCUUAACACAUGCAAGUCGAACGAUGAAGCGGUGCUUGCACCGUGGAUUAGUGGCGAACGGGUGAGUAAUACGUGAGUGACCUACCUUUGACUCUGGGAUAAGCCUGGGAAACUGGGUCUAAUACCGGAUACGACCAAUCUCUGCAUGGGGUGUUGGUGGAAAGCGUUAUGGAGUGGUUUUAGAUGGGCUCACGGCCUAUCAGCUUGUUGGUGAGGUAAUGGUUUACCAAGGCGACGACGGGUAGCCGGCCUGAGAGGGUGACCGGCCACACUGGGACUGAGACACGGCCCAGACUCCUACGGGAGGCAGCAGUGGGGAAUAUUGCACAAUGGGCGCAAGACUGAUGCAGCGACGCCGCGUGAGGGAUGACGGCCUUCGGGUUGUAAACCUCUGUUAGCAUCGAAGAAGCGAAAGUGACGGUAGGUGCAGAGAAAGCGCCGGCUAACUACGUG
rnacentral:rRNA from 1 species